ACAUGUGGCCAAACCUCUGUGUAAAAGCCUGAUUUCAUCAGAUCUCAUAAACUAAGCAAGGCUGGAUCUGGUUAAUACUUGGAUGAGAGAGCACUGGAAUAUCAGGUUCCACAGUG
rnacentral:rRNA from 1 species